CCUUGUACACACCGCCCGUCACACCAUGGGAGUGGGUUGCACCAGAAGUAGAGAGUUUAACCGCAAGGGGGACCUUUACCACGGUGUGAUUCAUGACUGGGGUG
rnacentral:rRNA from 1 species